rnacentral:tRNA from 2 species
GUCCCUAUCGUCUAGAGGUCUAGGACAUCGCCCUUUCACGGCGGUAACCGGGGUUCGAAUCCCCGUAGGGACGCCA